rnacentral:tRNA from 1 species
AAUAAUUGUGUGGCAGAUUAGUGCAUUGGACUUAAGAUCCAAAUAUAACUUUAGUUCAUAA